rnacentral:rRNA from 1 species
AUUGAACGCUGGCGGCAGGCCUAACACAUGCAAGUCGAGCGCGCGGCGGACGGGUGAGUAAUGUCUGGGAAACUGCCUGCUGGAGGGGGAUAACUACUGGACACGGUAGCUAAUACCGCAUACCCUCGGCUGCGCCCAUAUGGGAUUAGCUUGUAGGGGAGGAAACGGCUCACCUACGCGACGAUCCCUAGCUGGUCUGAGAGGAUGACCAGCCACACUGGAACUGAGACACGGUCCAGACGCCUACGGGAGGCAGCAGUGGGGAAUAUUGCACAAUGGGCGCAAGCCUGAUGCAGCCAUGCAGCGUGUAUGAAGAAGGCCUUCGGGUUGUAAAGUACUUUCAGCGGGGAGGCGUUACCCGCAGAAGAAGCACCGGCUAACUCCGUGCCAGCAGCCGCGGUAAUAC